rnacentral:rRNA from 1 species
UACGGAGGGGGCUAGCGUUGUUCGGAAUUACUGGGCGUAAAGCGCACGUAGGCGGCUUUGCAAGUCAGAGGUGAAAGCCCGGGGCUCAACCCCGGAAUUGCCUUUGAGACUGCAUCGCUAGAACGUCGGAGAGGUAAGUGGAAUUCCGAGUGUAGAGGUGAAAUUCGUAGAUAUUCGGAAGAACACCAGUGGCGAAGGCGACUUACUGGACGACUGUUGACGCUGAGGUGCGAAAGCGUGGGGAGCAAACAGGG